rnacentral:tRNA from 1 species
GAGAGCGAGGGGCGGAUGUAGCCAAGUGGAUCAAGGCAGUGGAUUUGUGA